rnacentral:rRNA from 1 species
AUACGGAGGGUGCGAGCGUUAAUCGGAAUUCUGGGCGUAAAGGGUGCGUAGGCGGCUUGAUAAGUCGGAUGUGAAAGCCCCGGGCUUAACCUGGGAAUUGCAUUCGAUACUGUCAGGCUAGAGUAUGUCAGAGGUUGGCAGAAUUCCUGGUGUAGCGGUGAAAUGCGUAGAUAUCAGGAGGAACACCAGUGGCGAAGGCGGCUAACUGGGACAAUACUGACGCUGAGGCACGAAAGCGUGGGGAGCAAACAGGAUUAGAUACCCGUGUAGUCC